rfam:Citrus sinensis cultivar Ridge Pineapple sweet orange scaffold00688_contig_8, whole genome shotgun sequence.
GUAUGCCUGGCUCCCUGUAUGCUUUUUGCAAAGCCCAUCAGAAGAUUGGUGGUCUUGGCGGAUAGCGUGCGAGGAGCCAUGCAUGC